GCCAAUGUGGUGUAGUGGUUUGAUUGUUGGACUGCUACUCGGCAGACCAGGGUUCAAUUCUCUACUUGGCCA